rnacentral:rRNA from 1 species
UACGAAGGGGGCUAGCGUUGUUCGGAAUUACUGGGCGUAAAGGGUACGUAGGCGGUUUGACCAGUCAGAUGUGAAAUCCCAGGGCUCAACCUUGGAACUGCAUUUGAUACUGUCAAACUAGAAUUCGAGAGAGGAUAGUGGAAUUUCCAGUGUAGAGGUGAUAUUCGUAGAUACUGGAAGGAACACCAGAGGCGAAGGCGACUAUCUGGAUCGAUAUUGACGCUGAGGUACGAAAGUGUGGGUAGCAAACAGG